GCCCGAAUGAGCCUCAGUGGUCUGGGGUGCAGGCUUCAAACCUGUAGCCGACUGACGUCGGAGUGGUUCAAUUCCACCCUUCGGGCG
rnacentral:tRNA from 1 species